rnacentral:rRNA from 1 species
UACGGGAGGCAGCAGUGGGGAAUAUUGCACAAUGGGCGCAAGCCUGAUGCAGCCAUGCCGCGUGUAUGAAAAGGCUUCGGUUGUAAGUACUUCUAGUCGUGAGGAAGGUGUUAAGGUUAAUAACCUUAGCAAUUGACGUUAGCGACAGAAGAAGCACCGGCUAACUCCGUGCCAGCAGCCGCGGUAAUACGGAGGGUGCGAGCGUUAAUCGGAAUUACUGGGCGUAAAGGGCACGCAGGCGGUUAAUUAAGUUGGAUGUGAAAUCCCCGGGCUUAACCUGGGAAUGGCAUUCAAGACUGGUUAGCUAGAGUCUUGUAGAGGGGGUAGAAUUCCAUGUGUAGCGGUGAAAUGCGUAGAGAUGUGGAGGAAUACCGGUGGCGAAGGCGGCCCCCUGGACAAAGACUGACGCUCAUGUGCGAAAGCGUGGGGAGCAAACAGGGAUUAGAUACC